rnacentral:rRNA from 1 species
AUGCUGGUGCGGCUUCUCCAUGCCGUUGUCCAUGAGAACGGCGGUGCUCGGGUGAGCGUGCGGGCGACAUGCCCUCAGGAGAGGAAGACGAUGGCCAGCCAGAGAGCUGGGCUGGCUGGGCCGUCCGUGGCCAAAAGUUGUUCUGUCAUGCUCAUUUUUUCUUCUUGUUGUUGUUGCUUUCAUGCAGAUGCCGUCACUCCGAUAACCUGUGCCAUAAUAGUGUUCCUGUUUGCUCUCCAGCAUUACGGCACCCACCGCGUCGGGUUUCUCUUCGCUCCCAUAAUUCUAGCCUGGCUGAUCUGCAUGAGCGCGCUCGGGGUGUACAAUAUCAUCUACUGGAACCCUCAGGUUUACAUGGCACUCAAUCCCGUAUACAUGUUCAAAUUCUUGAAGAAGACCAAGAAGUCUGGUUGGAUGUCCCUCGGAGGGAUUCUGCUCUGCAUGACAGGAUCUAAAGCAAUGUUUGCAGAUCUUGGCCAUUUCUCCUACAGUGCAAUCCAGGUUAAUUUCAGCAACUAG